rnacentral:rRNA from 1 species
ACCUGCCCUAUGAUAAUAAAAUUAUUAAAUGGCCGCGAUAUUUUGAUCGUGCAAAGGUAGCAUAAUAAUUAGUUUUUUAAUUGAGAACUGGUAUGAAAGGUCGAACGAGAAAAAAACUGUCUCAAUUUAAAUUUGAUUAGAAUUUUAUUUUUAAGUAAGAAAGCUUAAAUGUAUUUAAAAGACGAGAAGACCCUAUAGAGUUUUAUAUUUAUUGAAAUUUAAAAAAUUUAAGAAUUUUAAUUUUAUUGUUUUUUAAUAAAUAUUUGGUUGGGGCGAUUGGAAAAUUAAACGAACUUUUCUUUAUUUUUAACAUUGAUAUAUGAUUAAUUGAUCCAUUAUUUAUGAUUAAAAGAUUAA